GAAAGUCCUUUUGCUCUUCCAAAUCCAGAUGCAAAUCCGAAACCAAACAACCUCCCAUGUUUCUCCGGCACUCACCUCAACUCUGGAAAAGUCGUUAGCAAUUUCGCACCCUGACUAUAAAUACACGUCGCAAUCGCAAUGCAAGCAAACGACGUAUAUAGCCUCGCUGCAGCCGUCGCCUGAUCUCCAAAUCUCCCUCCAUCCACCAUCUCGGCCGAGUAGGCGAGUACUAUCUAUGGCGACGCCUCGCCAUCUCCCGCUCCACCUCAUCCUCGUCGUCGUCGCGGCCGCCGCCUUCGUCGCCACGUCAGUUCCCGUGGCGGUGGCGGCGGCGCAGGGGUACUGCCAGGACUCGCUGGCCGGGCUGGAAGAGUGCGGGAGCGCCCUCGGCCGCGUGCUGCGCGGCGUACGAGGCCGCCUUCGACGCCGACCCCUUCUGCCUCUGCUACGUCGGGCGCGCCACGGGGGACUACGUCGACGUCGCCCGCGCGCUCCAGAUCCCCGCCCGCUGCGGCCAGGUCCAGCCGCCCAUCGAGCUCUGCAGCAUGGAACUGUGGAAGGGCUGGUGCUCCCUCCCUUUCGCGCCGCAGGGCACGCCGGCGACCGCCCACGCUCCGGACGCACAGCGGCCUUCGGCUUCAAGUACGUACGUGCGGUAGGGUGCAUCGGAUCAAUCGUUACCGUUGCAUUGAAAACGUCGUGCUACAGCAGGUGUGGCUUUCUCCCGUUGGAACCGGAGAGCGUUUGGCUUGGUUUAAUAAUUGUGCAUGGGAUCACCUCAUGGUCGUCGUCGUCGCCGUGGUUGCCCGUACACUACCGGAAUUCGGCUCUUUGCCGAGUGCCGGUGGCUUUGCCGAGUGCUUUUUAUCGGGCACUCGGCAAAGCCGACUUUGCCGAGCGCCGCACUCGGCAAAGUCCUACGCUCGGUAAAGAUCUUAUUUACCGAGUGCGGGACACUCGGCACAGCCCAACA
rnacentral:misc_RNA from 1 species